rnacentral:rRNA from 1 species
GAUGAACGCUGGCGGCGUGCCUAAUACAUGCAAGUCGAGCGAAUGGAUUAAGAGCUUGCUCUUAUGAAGUUAGCGGCGGACGGGUGAGUAACACGUGGGUAACCUGCCCAUAAGACUGGGAUAACUCCGGGAAACCGGGGCUAAUACCGGAUAACAUUUUGAACCGCAUGGUUCGAAAUUGAAAGGCGGCCUCGGCUGUCACUUAUGGAUGGACCCGCGUCGCAUUAGCUAGUUGGUGAGGUAACGGCUCACCAAGGCAACGAGGCGUAGACGACGUGGGAGGGUGAUCGGCCACACUGGGACUGAGACACGGCCCAGACUCCUACGGGAGGCAGCAGUAGGGAAUCUUCCGCAGUGGACGAAAGUCUGACGGAGCAACGCCGCGUGAGUGAUGAAGGCUUUCGGGUCGUAAAACUCUGUUGUUAGGGAAGAACAAGUGCUAGUUGAAUAAGCUGGCACCUUGACGGUACCUAACCAGAAAGCCACGGCUAACUACGUGCCAGCCGCCGCGGUAA